GUUGAUUUCCUACUAAGUCAAGGUUCCUUUGUAACUUGGUAUAGUUGUUUCGGAGUGGGAAGCAUUAGAAUCACCAAAGUGAUCAUAUCUCCAAGUGAAGAAGACUUGAAGAAAAGUUUUUCGACGAAACGGGAAGUGAGUUUGGAAAGGCGUAAGGAGCGUGAAAGGUACAGACGACAGGUUCGCUGAUCCAUCUGUUUAGGAUCCCACUUCUGCUAUUUUGGGCCCUCUCUUCUUCAGAGCCCACUUUUUGGUACAGUCUGUCACUGCUAUCUGG